UCCUUCUCCUUCAUUGUUUUUUCUACUUCGUCCCCAAACUCACAGAGAAACUCUCGUCCCCAAACUCAACAGACAUACUUCAACAGAGAAACGUCACCUCCACCAUCACCGUCGCCGCAACCAGAUUUAUUUUCUCUUUCAAGUUAAUUCCCCUCUUAAGAUUGAAAUUGGGAAAUUUCAGUGACCUAAUUUGAGGUUCUAUUGAUGAAGAUGGUGGUUCAAUUGAUGAUAAAUUAGGUUGUUUUCAUCUUCUUCAAUAGGGUUUCAAUUGGUUUUCAUCUUCUUCAAUAGGGUUUCAAUAGAGAAUUGAGUCGAGAUAAAACUCAAAUCGGUUCAUUCAAAAUCAAAUCAGGGUUUCAGAAUUACUCAAUUCAAUCAGGUCGCGGGUUCAAAGGUUAGUUGCUCAAUUAACCUUGAUUCAUUUUGUCUGAUGAAGGUAUGUGUUAGAUUUCCCAAUUUCAAUCUACUGCAAAACCGGGAAAUUUCCCAAUUUCUCUUUGCUGUUUACUGAUAUUCCAGCUCUUUGCUUGAUUUAUUUUGUAUUUUUGAUAUUCAUAGUGUUCCUGUUUGAUGGUUGUCCUGUGUGCAAGUGAAUGAAUCUAUUGAAGUGUAAGAAUACUUAAGUGGUUGUGAGAUAUCUGACUGCUUAUAUGUGUAAUUUGGGUGAAUACAUGUCAAAGCAUCCUGUAAAAGAGAAGCAUGGGAAUCUCACCCUGACAGUUUUCCUGCAAAUGAAAAGUUCUGGGACUAAGUUUAAAUUGGAGGCACUGCAAAGGAGAACUCUAGCAUAUACUGCUGCUAUGCAGCUCCGAAGAAGCAUCUAUCACUGAUUCCAUCAUCAGGAGUUUAAGAUUGCUCCAAUUCCAACUACCAUUUCCUAUCAAUUUAUGAACCAGUAGGUUUAAUUGGCAGCGUGUAGCUUCCUUCGAUAGAUGAUGUGCAGGAGGUUGACUCAAAGAUAGUUGUUUAAUGAUGAAAAAUACUUCAGACAGAAAGUAUCACUUUUUGACCUAGAUGAAUGUUAGGACAGGUGACAUGACUAUAAUGGUGCUGGUGGAUCGAUGUUCACAGGUGGUUGCUGUAUAUGAAUGAAGUGAAGGAGCUUGGGCUGGUAGUUAAGCUGAAUUGCAGGCGUUGUUGGUGGUAGUGAGCUGGUGUUGUGUAGAGGAAGGAGCUAAUGAUGUUGUUGUUAGUUGAGCUGAACUGCGGAGAUGGAGCUGGCGAAGAAUGGUACAGCUAUGAAGUGUUCCAGGGAAGAAUGACAGAUUGCAGUUUGAACACAUGACUGAGAAAGACUUGGGGGUUGUCUGUGUUGUAUGUUUGAGCACAAGAGCAAGGACCUGAUAUGUUGUUGGAUUUGAGUUGCAGCUACUGUUUGGUUUGACUGCAGGUGAAUGAGAGUGGUGUAUGAACUGUAACAGAUGGAAGAAUGGCUUGACUGAAUGAAGGAACGAGUAGAUGAAUUUUUAGUUUGCAGUUGUAGUUGAUGUUACAGGGAAUGGUGCUGAAGAGACGGAGAUUGAGCUGCAACAGGGGACAAAGAAGAUAAUUAAGAAGCAGUGGAGGAGUACGUGGUACUGUGGACAGUAUGGAGUGAUUUAAAAAGGGAAUUGCAGUUGGAAAUUGGUGACAAGAUUGAAUGCAGAACUGAAGCUGCAUAUGGUGGAAGUGAGCGCCAGCAUGGAUGGAAUUGAAGCAGUGAAGCGCCACAAUGGUGCAACAUAAAGCAACACACAGCUCUGGCCUGUGCAAGAAGCAACGGCCUGCAACACCUCAAGCUAUGACCAUUCAGACGAGUCAGUUAACUGAAGCUGACUCACAUUAUGAGUCAGACCGUGACUCACUGAGUUGAACCCACUGUAUCGGUCUGAGUUUGACCGAGUUCUGUUGACUCGCUGAGGUGACUCGUUUGACCCACUGGUUUGACUUUACCGGAUACCUGAACUGUUUUCGGGCCAACUGUCGGCCGAAUCCCGGUCAACUGAACUGUUUUCGGGCCAACUGUCGGCCGAAUCCCGGUCAACUUUUGGGACUACUUGUGGUAUUUCUGUAUUUCUCUUAUGGAUCGACUAAUUACAUAACACAUCAUGCAACCAUAUUUUGGUUCAUGGAGCGAUUAAUUUUUCGUUUUUGAAAAACUGAUACUUUCACAUUCCCUUUCAGGAAAAGUGGUACUAUCACUCCGUUUCAGGAAAAGUGGUACUAUCACCCCGUUUUAGGAAAAGUGAUACUUUCAAUUUGUUUCAGAAAAAGUGAUACUUUCACCUCGUUUCAGAAAAAAUGAUACUUUUCUGAAAUGGGGUGAAAAUUUCACUUUUUCUAAAACGAGGCAUAGUGGUGUCGUUUCGUCAAGUUCUUCAGUCGGCAUUUCCACCGUGACAACAGUUGUACUAGUAAUACGAUGGAAAGUUGGUUAUA